rnacentral:rRNA from 1 species
UACGAAGGGGGCUAGCGUUGUUCGGAAUCACUGGGCGUAAAGGGCGCGUAGGCGGCUUAACAAGUCAGGUGUGAAAGCCCCGGGCUCAACCCGGGAAUUGCACUUGAUACUGUUUCGCUAGAGUCCGGGAGAGGAUGGCGGAAUUCCCAGUGUAGAGGUGAAAUUCGUAGAUAUUGGGAAGAACACCGGUGGCGAAGGCGGCCAUCUGGACCGGUACUGACGCUGAGGCGCGAAAGCGUGGGGAGCAAACAGGAUUAGAUACCCUGGUAGUCCACGCCGUAAACGAUGAGUGCUAGACGUCGGGGGGUUCACCUUCCGGUGUCGCAGCUAACGCCUUAAGCACUCCGCCUGGGGAGUACGGUCGCAAGAUUAAA